rnacentral:miRNA from 1 species
GGGUCUGGGGGCGCGCC